AGUCGAGGGGCAGCGGGGGCUUCGGCCCGCCGGCGACCGGCAAACGGGUGCGGAACACGUACGCAAUUUACCCUUGUCUGGGGCAUAGCCCGAAGAAAUUCGGAUUAACACCCCAUAAUAUAUUUAAGAGGCAUCUUUUGGAUAUUAAAAUUCCGGUGGACAAGGAUGAGCGUGCGUCCCAUUAGCUAGUUGGCAGGGUAAUGGCCUACCAAGGCGACGAUGGGUAGCUGGUGUGAGAGCACGACCAGCCACACGGGCACUGAGACACGGGCCCGACUCCUACGGGAGGCAGCAGUGAGGAAUAUUGGUCAAUGGACGCAAGUCUGAACCAGCCAUGCCGCGUGAAGGAUGAAGGCCUUCUGGGUUGUAAACUUCUUUUAUUGGGGAAGAAACCUCCGAUUUCUAUUGGAGCCGACGGUACCCAAGGAAUAAGCACCGGCUAACUCCGUGCCAGCAGCCGCGGUAAUACGGAGGGUGCAAGCGUUAUCCGGAUUCACUGGGUUUAAAGGGUGUGUAGGCGGAUAUUUAAGUCAGUGGUGAAAUCUCAAGGCUCAACCUUGAAACUGCCAUUGAUACUAUUUAUCUUGAAUAUCGUUGAGGUAGGCGGAAUAUAUCAUGUAGCGGUGAAAUGCUUAGAUAUGAUAUAGAACACCGAUUGCGAAGGCAGCUUA
rnacentral:rRNA from 1 species